GAUGAACGCUGGCGGCGUGCUUAACACAUGCAAGUCGAACGGAAAGGCACCAGCUUGUUGGGGUACCCGAGUGCCGAAGGGGUGAGGAUCACGUGGGUGACCUGCCCUGCUCUUCGGGGUAAGCCUGCGAAACUGGGUUUACUAUAGGAUAGGACGAUGGUUAGGAUGGCAUUGAGGAGAGCUUCUUAGGUGUGGGGUGAGAUUGUGGCGUAUUCGCUUGUUGGAGGGGUCAUGGCAUACCAAGGCGAAGACGGGGAGCCGGAGUGAGAGGGGGAUCGGCCGCACUGGAACUGAGACAGGCACCAGGGUCCUACGGGAGGCAGCAGUCGGGAAUCUUAGGCAAUGGGGGCAAGCAUGAUCCAGCGAUACCGAGUGGGUGGAGAAGGCGUUCGGGUUGUAAAGACCUUUUGUUGGGAAAGAAAAGCUGCCGCUUGAUACCCAGCUGUUCUGACGGUACCUAAAGAAUAAGCACCGGCUAACUACGUG
rnacentral:rRNA from 1 species